UUAACACUCUCUGUUUCUAGUAGGAAAUGCAAGAGAUCUCCAUGUAGAGAACUGCAAGAGAAACCACAGGCCAUUUCAGGGACCUCUUACAAUAUGAUGAGGUUUGGCAUCCCUCAUAGCUAAGCUUCUGUGUGAAAAAGCCUCUGCUUGGGCAGGGGAGUGAACUCAGGCAAAGAAGAAAACAGAAUACAUGCCCAGGACUUUACCACUCAAUGGGAAAAAGAAUGACAGCAUGUUAGAAACUGAGAAGAAGCUUGAUACAUUCAAAGAUGCUGCUCCCGACCUUUUGUUCAGCAGAGAGAGAAAAUAAAGCAACAUCUACCAAAACUUUGGUGUUUGGAAGCAACAUGAAUUCUCUUGGACACCUGGAAGGUUCUUCCCCUGCCAUCUUCCUAAACUGGUAUUAUUUUUCAUCUAAAGACACAGAAACAAGGACUGCACAAAAAACAAUAGAACAAACAUUUUAAAAUGGGCUAUCAUCCUUACAGAAAGCAUCUGAUCAAUUAAAUUACCAUUAUUUCCCCAUCCCCCUCCAGCCUUACUGUAUACAAAUAGAAUAAACAAUCAAAUUCACA